UUCUUCUUCCUCUCAAACGACGAAGCGACGCGCUUCCUGAGCUCACCGGAAACGGCUUCGAAACGCCACCCUUCCUUCGUAACCUCCAUCCCGUUUCCAUCCUCAAUAUAGACCUCAACACAAUCUCACUCUUCUCUCUAAUUUGGUAACAUCACAGAAAACCCUAACCUAAAUCUGAAAUUGAACAAAAAUCUUGGAGCUAGUUCGGGGAAUUCCGAUGACGGUGAAGGGCUCAGUUCAGAUGCUAUUGGUUGGGUUUUGUCGUCGCCAUGGUGUAUGCUUCAGUUGUGCGGUUCGUUGAAGGUGCGGUUGUUACAGGUUUGUGUAUGUUGAAGAAGGAGUUUAUGGAGAGUUUUUGUAUGGUUGCGUUCUUGUUGAGUUUUGUACAAGGAUUUGAGGGAAUGAGUUGGAGUUGAAGGACUAAUUUUGUAUAUUCUACAGGUUGAAUUUGGUGCAAUUCUUGUUGGCUAUAAAAACAGGGUGCAGCCAAUGCUAAUAUUAGGAGGAUGAUUGUGCUGCUGUUAUGUAUG